GUGCCAGCAGCCGCGGUAAUACCGGCAGCUCGAGUGAUGGCCACUCUUAUUGGGCCUAAAGCGUCCGUAGCCUGCCGUACGGGUCCGUCGGGAAAUCCGCCCGCUUAACGGGCGGACGUCCGGCGGAAACCAUACGGCUUGGGACCAGAGGACCCGAGGGGUACGUCGGGGGUAGGAGUGAAAUCCCGAGAUCCUCGACGGACCGCCGGUGGCGAAAGCGCCUCGGGAAGAUGGAUCCGACGGUGAGGGACGAAAGCCAGGGUCUCGAACCGGAUUAGAUACCCUUGUAGUCC
rnacentral:rRNA from 1 species